rnacentral:lncRNA from 1 species
AUUUUUGUCGUUUAGCGUUAUUCGUCAUGUUGUGAGGUUAGUAAGAUUAACUUGAAAGAGUUCCGUCCCAUGAUUUCCGACAUGUGUUCGAAAUUGACCAAUCAAAUCAGGUCUAGCUCAAGUGCCUUUUGAACUCGUUCAUGUUGUUGAUCGGAGUUUUGAAAACUCAAGGAAGUAUUUAAAAAGCGCCCUGUGCAGAUUAUAUGUCAAAUCAUGGCUUCGCCACCUGUAGGUUUCCAUGUUGUGUGCUGUUCGAAGAACAUCUCUGAGGGAAUGUGAAUAGAAUCUUUAUCUUCUGCUUAUAUACAACACUUACUCAUGGGCCAGUGGCACAAUUUCUAGCUGUACAAGGAUAUCAUGGUGUUUGAUAAGUUGAUGACAAUGAAAAUAAUGACCAUGUUAACAUCAGAGGAAAAGCAAACUGGGAAAGAAAGGACAACAUUGUUUUCGAUCUUGAAGG